rnacentral:rRNA from 1 species
CCUACGGGCGGCUGCAGUGGGGAAUAUUGCACAAUGGGCGCAAGCCUGAUGCAGCCAUGCCGCGUGUGUGAAGAAGGCCUUCGGGUUGUAAAGCACUUUCAGCGGGGAGGAAGGCGUUAAGGUUAAUAACCUUGUCGAUUGACGUUACCCGCAGAAGAAGCACCGGCUAACUCCGUGCCAGCAGCCGCGGUAAUACGGAGGGUGCAAGCGUUAAUCGGAAUUACUGGGCGUAAAGCGCACGCAGGCGGUCUGUCAAGUCGGAUGUGAAAUCCCCGGGCUCAACCUGGGAACUGCAUUCGAAACCGGCAGGCUAGAGUCUUGUAGAGGGGGGUAGAAUUCCAGGUGUAGCGGUGAAAUGCGUAGAGAUCUGGAGGAAUACCGGUGGCGAAGGCGGCCCCCUGGACAAAGACUGACGCUCAGGUGCGAAAGCGUGGGGAGCAAACAGGAUUAGAUACCCCAGUAGUC